GGUCGUACGAGAAAUUCCGAUUCGUCGGGAGAGUAAAGUGGCGAACGGGUGAGUAACACUAGGGUAAUCUUCCCUUAAAUAAGGGAUAACGUUGCGAAAGCGACGCUAAUACCUUAUAAGACUACGAUCUCUUAGGAGGUAGUAGGAAAAGAUGGCCUCUGUUUCAAGCUAUCGUUUAAGGAUGAGCCCUAGCACUAUUAGCUAGUUGGUGAGGUAACGGCUCACCAAGGCGACGAUGGUUAGCUGGUCUGAGAGGAUGGCCAGCCACACUGGAACUGAGACACGGUCCAGACUCCUACGGGAGGCAGCAGUGAGGAAUAUUGCGCAAUGGGGGCAACCCUGACGCAGUGACGCCGCGUGAGUGAUGAAGGCUUUCGAGUCGUAAAGCUCUGUUAGGUGGAAAGAGACAUCCCGGCGCUAAUAUCGUCGGGACUUGACGGUACCACCAGAGGAAGCACCGGCUAACUCCGUGCCAGCAGCCGCGGUAAUACGGAGGGUGCAAGCGUUGUUCGGAUUUACUGGGCGUAAAGGGCGUGUAGGCGGUUGGCUAAGUCAGAUGUGAAAUCCCUUGGCUUAACCAAGGAACGGCAUUUGAAACUAGCUAACUAGAGUACAGGAGAGGAAAGUGGAAUUCCCAGUGUAGAGGUGAAAUUCAUAGAUAUUGGGAGGAACACCGGUAGCGAA
rnacentral:rRNA from 1 species